CCUACGGGGGGCUGCAGUGGGGAAUAUUGGACAAUGGGCGAAAGCCUGAUCCAGCCAUGCCGCGUGUGUGAAGAAGGCCUUCGGGUUGUAAAGCACUUUCAGUGGGGAAGAAAGCCUUGGGGCUAAUACCCUCGAGGAAGGACAUCACCCACAGAAGAAGCACCGGCUAACUCCGUGCCAGCAGCCGCGGUAAUACGGAGGGUGCGAGCGUUAAUCGGAAUUACUGGGCGUAAAGCGCGCGUAGGCGGUCUGAUAAGCCGGGUGUGAAAGCCCCGGGCUCAACCUGGGAACGGCAUCCGGAACUGUCAGGCUAGAGUGCAGGAGAGGAAGGUAGAAUUCCCGGUGUAGCGGUGAAAUGCGUAGAGAUCGGGAGGAAUACCAGUGGCGAAGGCGGCCUUCUGGACUGACACUGACGCUGAGGUGCGAAAGCGUGGGUAGCAAACAGGAUUAGAUACCCCUGUAGUC
rnacentral:rRNA from 1 species